CUACGGGCGGCUGCAGUGAGGAAUAUUGCACAAUGGGGGCAACCCUGAUGCAGCAACGCCGCGUGGAGGAUGACGCAUUUCGGUGUGUAAACUCCUUUUAUCAGAGAAGAACCAUGACGGUAUCUGAUGAAUAAGCUCCGGCUAACUCCGUGCCAGCAGCCGCGGUAAUACGGAGGGGAGCAAGCGUUAUUCGGAAUCACUGGGCGUAAAGGACGCGUAGGCCGGUCUGUAAGUCAGGUGUGAAAUGCAAUGGCUCAACCAUUGAACUGCACUUGAAACUGCGGACCUAGAGUAUGGAAGGGGCAGAUGGAAUUAGUGGUGUAGGGGUAAAAUCCGUAGAUAUCACUAGGAAUACCGAAAGCGAAGGCGAUCUGCUGGGACAUAACUGACGCUGAGGCGUGAAAGCGUGGGGAGCAAACAGGAUUAGAUACCCUAGUAGUC
rnacentral:rRNA from 1 species